UUUAAUUGAAGAGUUUGAUCAUGGCUCAGAUUGAACGCUGGCGGCAGGCCUAACACAUGCAAGUCGAGCGGCAGCGGGAGGAAGCUUGCUUCCUCGCCGGCGAGCGGCGGACGGGUGAGUAAUGUCUGGGAAACUGCCCGAUGGAGGGGGAUAACUACUGGAAACGGUAGCUAAUACCGCAUAACGUCGCAAGACCAAAGUGGGGGACCUUCGGGCCUCACACCAUCGGAUGUGCCCAGAUGGGAUUAGCUAGUAGGUGGGGUAAUGGCUCACCUAGGCGACGAUCCCUAGCUGGUCUGAGAGGAUGACCAGCCACACUGGAACUGAGACACGGUCCAGACUCCUACGGGAGGCAGCAGUGGGGAAUAUUGCACAAUGGGCGCAAGCCUGAUGCAGCCAUGCCGCGUGUGUGAAGAAGGCCUUCGGGUUGUAAAGCACUUUCAGCGAGGAGGAAGGCGUUGUAGUUAAUAACUGCAGCGAUUGACGUUACUCGCAGAAGAAGCACCGGCUAACUCCGUGCCAGCAGCCGCGGUAAUACGGAGGGUGCAAGCGUUAAUCGGAAUUACUGGGCGUAAAGCGCACGCAGGCGGUCUGUUAAGUCAGAUGUGAAAUCCCCGGGCUUAACCUGGGAACUGCAUUUGAAACUGGCAGGCUAGAGUCUCGUAGAGGGGGGUAGAAUUCCAGGUGUAGCGGUGAAAUGCGUAGAGAUCUGGAGGAAUACCGGUGGCGAAGGCGGCCCCCUGGACGAAGACUGACGCUCAGGUGCGAAAGCGUGGGGAGCAAACAGGAUUAGAUACCCUGGUAGUCCACGCUGUAAACGAUGUCGAUUUGGAGGUUGUGGCCUUGAGCCGUGGCUUCCGGAGCUAACGCGUUAAAUCGACCGCCUGGGGAGUACGGCCGCAAGGUUAAAACUCAAAUGAAUUGACGGGGGCCCGCACAAGCGGUGGAGCAUGUGGUUUAAUUCGAUGCAACGCGAAGAACCUUACCUACUCUUGACAUCCACGGAACUUGCCAGAGAUGGCUUGGUGCCUUCGGGAACCGUGAGACAGGUGCUGCAUGGCUGUCGUCAGCUCGUGUUGUGAAAUGUUGGGUUAAGUCCCGCAACGAGCGCAACCCUUAUCCUUUGUUGCCAGCGGUUCGGCCGGGAACUCAAAGGAGACUGCCAGUGAUAAACUGGAGGAAGGUGGGGAUGACGUCAAGUCAUCAUGGCCCUUACGAGUAGGGCUACACACGUGCUACAAUGGCAUAUACAAAGAGAAGCGACCUCGCGAGAGCAAGCGGACCUCAUAAAGUAUGUCGUAGUCCGGAUUGGAGUCUGCAACUCGACUCCAUGAAGUCGGAAUCGCUAGUAAUCGUAGAUCAGAAUGCUACGGUGAAUACGUUCCCGGGCCUUGUACACACCGCCCGUCACACCAUGGGAGUGGGUUGCAAAAGAAGUAGGUAGCUUAACCUUCGGGAGGGCGCUUACCACUUUGUGAUUCAUGACUGGGGUGAAGUCGUAACAAGGUAACCGUAGGGGAACCUGCGGUUGGAUCACCUCCUUACC
rnacentral:rRNA from 1 species